rnacentral:rRNA from 1 species
GACGGAGGGUGCGAGCGUUGUUCGGAUUGACUGGGCGUAAAGGGCGUGUAGGCGGUUGGUCAAGUCUGAUGUGAAAGCCCGGAGCUCAGCUCCGGAAGUGCAUCGGAAACUAGCUGGCUGGAGCGCGAUAGAGGAGGGUGGAAUUCCUGGUGUAGCGGUGAAAUGCGUAGAUAUCAGGAGGAACACCGGCGGCGAAGGCGGCCCUCUGGAUCGUUGCUGACGCUGAGACGCGAAAGCGUGGGGAGCAACAGG